GGCCACGUGGCGGAGUGGUUACGCAGCGGUCUGCAAAACCGUUUACAUCAGUUCGAUUCUGGUCGUGGCCUCCA
rnacentral:tRNA from 1 species